UACGUAGGGCGCAAGCGUUGUCCGGAAUUAUUGGGCGUAAAGAGCUCGUAGGCGGCUUGUUACGUCUGCUGUGAAAUCCCAGGGCUUAACCCCGAGCCUGCAGUCGAUACGGGCAGGCUAGAGUUCGGCAGGGGAGACUGGAAUUCCUGGUGUAGCGGUGAAAUGCGCAGAUAUCAGGAGGAACACCGGUGGCGAAGGCGGGUCUCUGGGCCGAUACUGACACUGAGGAGCGAAAGCGUGGGGAGCGAACAGGA
rnacentral:rRNA from 1 species